GUGCCAGCAGCCGCGGUAAUACAGAGGGUGCGAGCGUUAAUCGGAAUUACUGGGCGUAAAGCGCGCGUAGGCGGCUUUUCAAGUCGAUUGUGAAAUCCCCGGGCUUAACCUGGGAACUGCAGUCGAGACUGUCUAGCUAGAGUAUGGGAGAGGGAAGUGGAAUUUCAGGUGUAGCGGUGAAAUGCGUAGAUAUCUGAAGGAACAUCAGUGGCGAAAGCGACUUCCUGGACCAAUACUGACGCUCAUGUGCGAAAGCGUGGGGAGCAAACAGGAUUAGAAACCCGCGUAGUCC
rnacentral:rRNA from 1 species